rnacentral:rRNA from 1 species
GGAGCUCAACUCCGGAUCGGCAUUGGAUACUGGCAAGCUAGAGUGCAGAAGAGGCAAGGGGAAUUCCUAGUGUACCGGUGAAAUGCGUAGAUAUUAGGAGGAACACCGGUGGCGUAAGCGCCUUGCUGGUCUGUAACUGACGCUGAGGAACGAAAGCCAGGGUAGCGGAUGGGAUUAGAUACCCCAGUAGUCCUGGCCGUAAACGAUGGAUACUAGGUGUUGCAGGUAUCGACCCCUGCAGUGCUGCAGCUAACGCAAUAAGUAUCCCGCCUGGGGAGUACAUACGCAAGUAUGAAACUCAAAGGAAUUGACGGGGACCCGCACAAGCGGUGGAACAUGUGGUUUAAUUCGAAGCAACGCGAAGAACCUUACCAGGGCCUGACAUCCCAAGAAUCCUGCAGAGAUGCAGGAGUGCCUUCGGGAACUUGGUGACAGGUGGUGCACGGUUGUCGUCAGCUCGUGUCGUGAGAUGUUGGGUUAAGUCCCGCAACGAGCGCAACCCUCAUUGUUAGUUGCCUAUAACGGCAUGCUGUUAUAGUGCUCUCUAGCGAGACUGCCGGUGAUAAACCGGAGGAAGGUGGGGACGACGUCAAAUCAUCAUGCCCCUUAUGUCCUGGGCUACACACGUGUUACAAUGGGUAGGACAACGAGCAGCCAACUUGCGAAAGUGAGCAAAUCUCUUAAACCUACUCUCAGUUCGGAUCGCAGUCUGCAACUCGACUGCGUGAAGUCGGAAUCGCUAGUAACCGUAGAUCAGCACGCUGCGGUGAAUACGUUCCCGGGUCUUGUACACACUGCCCGUCACACCAUGGAAGCUGACCACGCCCGAAGUCGGUGUGCUAACCUCUUGGAGCAGCCGCCUAAGGCAGGG